UUUCUGUAAUCCAGACUUGCAAGMUAACGUUAASUUUAAUAAUUGUUGCUAAGCGAUGCACUUUUGCUAGUARUACUAGCUAGCUUGCUACGUUUUAYGUCYCAACAAUUGUUUGUUUGUAUUCCUGUUCCUAAUUUUAGAAUCAAAUGUACUGGAUGAGGUCCAGUUGGAUGUGCCACUGCUGCCAGUCAUCCUUGAUGUCCAGGAUGCUGCUAUCAUCCUUGAGGAUGUGCCAGAUGUGCCGACUAUCCUUGAGGUACAAUUUUCAGAACGUUUUUGGUUUUAUGUUUGAAAAGUAUCCCAGAUAUUAAUUCUAAAAAAUCUUUGUUGUCUGCUUUAGGAGGCCACUGGUAAUUGGCAGUUGAUACCGAUUAGGUUCAGCCCCCUGUACUGUGGGCCUGUUGUGAUCAGAAACAAUGCCGGUCCGGUGGCUAAAGCUUGGAGAACUUUCCAGUUCAUCAGCCCCAUUAUCACCUACAUGCGUGGGGGAUCCCAGCAGGUGGUGGUGAGGAUGCACCAUGUGAGUAGGGUUCGAGGCCUGGAGACUCAACUGGUGUGGGCCAUCUCCAGGGAGACAGCCAGACUUAGUCCAGAGGGCAUCCCCUACUGUGCCACCAAGGUGCAG